CCUGAAACCAUGUCCCCAGGUGCCACAUCCAUGUGUUUUUGAAGACUUCCAGGGAUGGGGACUGUUCCAGUGCUUUACAACCCUUCCCAUGAAGAAACUGUUCCCAAAAUUGCUCCAAAUCAUUGAUGAGGCAACUCAGUGAGUCUCCCUCUUCCAGACUUCGGUGUUUCCUUUUCCCAGUUGUCCUGGAUGCUUGGAAGGACGAGUUCAUCUCAAAAAACACGACGGCCUAAGAACUAGUAAGCCUGAGCUGUCACCUCUCAAAGGAUCAGCUGAACUAGGAACUUGCAGACGGGAAUUAUCUCACGGAUUUUAGGAUCUGUUGAUUAUCUGUUGACUAAUGAAUUUUGUUUUGGAAGGGCCAAUUGUUGAGCAAUUGAAGUGAGAUGGGGCAAAUCCCAUCCAAAACAUUCAUCAGCAUCAUUCCCAAAUCUCUCCUCACAAGCCUUUUUUUUUUUAUUUCCCAGGAAACCAAGGUAGAGGGAUUGCUCCAUGGGUGCUUCCUUGGCUUCUUAAGGAGCUGUUCCAGCUCUUUUUCUGGUCUCCAUGAGGCAGCAGUUGAUCCACAAACAGCAAAAACCUGCUCAAGGAAAGGAUGUAACCCUGCAGCAAUGCUUUUCCUUUCUCAUCAGUGACCACAUUCCCUGGAAUCAUCCAGCUCCCAGGGUCCUGGAGGUGAAUCCUGGACAUCAGCGUGCCUUCGCUGCAGCAGAUCAUGUGUCUUAAGUGCUCACUGUACAUUUUCAACCUCAAACCUUCCCUGAUUUAUAAAGUUUUUUGUAGUUCCGAUGCCGUAAAAUAACAAACCGGGGCGUGCCAAGCCAAGGAGAUUAUCCCUGGAAUAACGGCGGAGCUACACAACGGCCUGGUGGGAUCCUAUUUAUCAGAAUUAAAUCAUAUACCCUUGAAACAUAUCGUGUGGAAUGUACUGUGUGCAAAGCAAACACACCUUACGUCAUUCCUGAGGUCACAACGUGGGGCAGAAUCCGAAAUGGAGAGAAAUAAAAUCCAGAGGGAGAGUCUCCAUCACCUGGGAGCUGCUGGAAGCCGCAUCCCCCCGGGCUGCUGAUCUGCAGGGGCGGGUGGUUGCUCCCUCAACUUUGUAGCGUUUCCAGAUCUGCGGGGAAGGAAUUGCCAAACCAGAACAGAGGGAGGCGGUUGUGCCCUCGCCCUUCCUCGUAGAUGCACAUUUCCCAGCCCUGCCCGGCGUUCCCAGAUCCUGCCCCGUGGAUCUCAUGAGCCACAGCCUUUGACUGGAGAGCUGAAGGUGCCUUUUGAAGCCCAGAGGCCACUGAAUCGGCUGAAUUCCAGCGGCACGAGCAGGAUCGGGAUGGGAGCCGCCGGCUACAGCCCUGCUCAGGUUCCUCAUCCACCAAAAUCCAGAGACUGACCAGGACACCACCAGUGAGGAGAUUUGGGAGCUGGUGGCACCAGCAAGGCUCUGGCUCACAGCAAAAACCAAACAAAAGCAGUCAUCAGCCAGAAGAGCAGCCACAGGGAUGUGUCCAGUGCAGUGUCCAGCUGUGGGCGGCUCCUCAGGACGGGAGGGACAUGGAGCUCCUGGAGCAGCUCCAGUGGAGGGAGACAAAGAUGCUGAAGGGAUGGAGCAUUUCAGUGACCAGGAAGAGGCACUUGAGAAGAGACACUGAGAGGGGACCCUGUAGGGUCUGCAGGGAGGGGGGCAGAGGAUGGAGCAGGCUCU